UUUCUUUAAAGUAAAUUUGCUUCGAGCCUGAAACAAAUAAUCCUCGACUGAGUAAUUAAUGCGUGAUGUAAGAAACGUCCUUGUUUUCAGUAAUCAGGCCGGCGAGCCGAAGCCGGCGCUGCAGCAAAUGACUGUUUAAUGAAGAAACAGUGAGGGUACACUAAACUACUCCAUCAACAAAGAUGAGAUUAAAAGAAAAUAACAAACACAUCAUUAUGAAUAAGUUCAUUUCCAUUCUGCAGUUAUUAGGCUUAAUAUGUUUGCUGAGUGGAUUUUAAUUUCAUCUGAAGCUAAAGAUCAAUUAAUUUCUGCCGCUGGAUAAACUGUUCGUUAAUUAGCGGGCGAGUUUAUGGUCCUAAAAGUUUUGCAAGUAAGACACUUUGAGAGCACAUUUGAAACAGAGCAUUUUUCUCUGUGUUGUAAGACUUAUGCAGACCACAAACAAAGGACUGGAUGGUUUAUUUCACAUGUUGUGGGUCAGUAGACUCUCAGGUUAAUAAAUAUAUGUUCAAAAACACUGUACAAGUGGAUUUUUCACAUUAAGUCCCCUUUAAAGAGAAAUAAAACGGGUUUUUAAAGGCAGGGUUGGUCAUUUCCUCCAGAUCCACUUUUUAAGAUUUUGACGCAUUGUCCAUCUUUAUUUACAGAUUGGCUCCAACAUUCAAAGGGUCCCCAUGGAAAGAAGACUCAUUGAACCCCAAUCCCUCCUUUUGAUUUUUAAGAUCUUCACUUCCUGAUUGUUGCUUUGGGAUUGGACUGCGGUUUUAUUUUCU